rnacentral:rRNA from 1 species
GACACGGGAUGCUUACGCCGCGGUGAGUAGGAGGGUCGCAGCGGCGAGCGUUGAAGGUGCCGGGCGCGAGCCCGCCUGGAGCCGCCGCUGGUGCAGAUCUUGGUGGUAGUAGCAAAUACUCAAGUGAGAACCUUGAGGACUGAGGUGGAGAAGGGUUCCAUGUGAACAGCAGUUGAACAUGGGUCAGUCGGUCCUAAGGGAUAGGAGAAAUCCGUUCCGAAGCGGGUGUUUUUUGACGUUGUGCCCGCCGGUCGACCGAAAGGGAAUCGGGUUAAUAUUCCCGAACCCGGACGCGGAGAUCGGCCUCUCGGGGCCAAGUGCGGCGACGCAACCGAACUCGGAGAUGUCGACGGGAGUCCCGGGAAGAGUUGUCUUUUCUUUGUAAGGGCUCGGCUCCCUGGAAUCGGCUCGUCCGGAGAUAGGGAUGCUGUUCCCGUAAAGCACCGCGGCUC